AUAGUACUCCCUUCGUCCGAAAAUACUUGUCGGAGAAAUGGAUGUAUCUAGACAUAUUUUAAUUCUAGAUACAUUAAUUUUAUCUUUUUUUAACAAGUAUUACUGGACGGAGGGCGUAGUAA
rnacentral:pre_miRNA from 1 species